GUUAUGAACAGAAUGUGUUAAAUCUCCCACUGUGACUGUGGAUUUGUCAAUUUUUUUGAAGUCCUGGUUGGCUGUGGCUUUGCUCCACAUCAUUUUCUCUCUCUGGGAUCCAGGCUGAAGGAGUGGCCUCAAUGCAGCUUUCAGCCUUGUGGCAGAGGAAAAACAGAAUAUGAUGAAGCGAAUUCUGGGUUUUCAAGCUUCUGCUCAGAAGUGACACAUAUUGACCUGCCAUAUUAUUGGCCAAAGCAAGACUAGUUUCCAAAGAGGCAGAACUGUUUAGAAAACAGUUCUUACCAGAGCGCUCUCCACGUACGAGGCAGCUGAUUCCAUUUCCAGAGUUCUGAGGCUGGAAGUACGGACCACUGAACUCAUACAGAACUGCGAACAGGAGCAAAGGAGCAAAGGUGUGUAUUUUUUUACCCCUUACGUCAAUACCUACCUCCACACAGGCCUCUCGUCCUGGGGGCUGCG